AAAGAGGAUUCGCGGAAAGUCAAAAACCAAUCUUAUGCAACGGGGUUCAUCUUAAUGACUUGGGGUUCCAUAAACUGUUUAGACAGAUUAGAGGUGUCAUAUUAAUUCAGCUAAGACAGGAACCCAAGCCUAGUCCUUCUGUAAACAGCAAUGACGACAAGGGCUUCUAGCUUUCAAAGCAUCCAGAUCAAUCUGCAGACAAGACUUUGCAUCACUUGUUAUAAUUUGUUUGGACACAGAUUUAGAUGACAUCCACACCAAAACGCAGGAGGCGGAACAAGACAGCCUUGCAUCCUCCCACAUAAACCCAUCCUCAAAGCGGUCUUAUGUCUCCUGAGGACAUGGAAACGAUGAUAAGGACGUGCAUGGCCUCUAUCAUCCCAACCAUUGAAGAUACUUUUCGACGCAAUAUGGAUGAAUAUCCCCAUGGUGAGAGCAAUCCUUCAUUGUCAAUCCCCAUCCAGACUGCA